rfam:Ailuropoda melanoleuca scaffold1281_37, whole genome shotgun sequence.
GGUUCCAUGGUGUAGUGGUUAACACAUUUGCUUUAUAUGCAGAAGAUCCUGGGUUUAAUUCCCGGUGUAAUCA